AGUCACUGACAUUAGAUACCCGCGUAGUCCAGGGUGUAAACGCUGCAGACUUGGUGUUGGGAACCCUUCGGGGGUGCUCAGUGCCGGAGAGAAGUUGUUAAGUCUGCUACUUGGGGAGUACGUCCGCAAGGAUGAAACUUAAAGGAAUUGGCGGGGGAGCACCGCAACGGGAGGAGCGUGCGGUUUAAUUGGAUUCAACACCGUAAAACUCACCAGGGAAGACUGUUACAUGAAGGCCGAGAUGAAGACUCUGCUAGAUUUUCAG
rnacentral:rRNA from 1 species